CAGAAGCACAGAGCUAGGGUCCUCUGUUAACUCCUCAACAAGUUCUCUCUCUUCCUCUCUCGUUCUCACUCAUUUUCCGACGAAGAUAAAACCAAUGGAUUUUCUUGAUGCAAAAAAGUGUCUUUUGCAAGCAAAGAUGUGAGGUGAAGAGGUAGCCGUUGCAGCCAGGCACCUGCUUCCGUUCCUGGUGAGCCCAUAGCCAUCAUUGAGAAGCAUGCUGCACAG